rnacentral:rRNA from 1 species
UGCCAGCAGCCGCGGUAAUACGGAGAGGGCAAGCGUUGUUCGGAAUCACUGGGCAUAGAGCGCACGUAGGCGGAUUGGAUAGUCAGUUGUGAAAGCCCGGGGCUCAACCCCGGAAUUGCAUUGGAUACUGGCAGUCUUGAGUAUGGGAGAGGAAAGUGGAAUUCCGAGUGUAGGAGUGAAAUCCGUAGAUAUUCGGAGGAACACCAGUGGCGAAGGCGGCUUUCUGGACCGAUACUGACGCUAAGGUGCGAAAGCGUGGGGAGCAAACAGGAUUAGAUA